rnacentral:rRNA from 1 species
GGUACUUGUACCUGGUGGCGAGCGGCGGACGGGUGAGUAAUGCCUAGGAAUCUGCCUGGUAGUGGGGGAUAACGCUCGGAAACGGACGCUAAUACCGCAUACGUCCUACGGGAGAAAGCAGGGGACCUUCGGGCCUUGCGCUAUCAGAUGAGCCUAGGUCGGAUUAGCUAGUUGGUGAGGUAAUGGCUCACCAAGGCGACGAUCCGUAACUGGUCUGAGAGGAUGAUCAGUCACACUGGAACUGAGACACGGUCCAGACUCCUACGGGAGGCAGCAGUGGGGAAUAUUGGACAAUGGGCGAAAGCCUGAUCCAGCCAUGCCGCGUGUGUGAAGAAGGUCUUCGGAUUGUAAAGCACUUUAAGUUGGGAGGAAGGGCAGUUACCUAAUACGUGAUUGUUUUGACGUUACCGACAGAAUAAGCACCGGCUAACUCUGUGCCAGCAGCCGCGGUAAUACAGAGGGUGCAAGCGUUAAUCGGAAUUACUGGGCGUAAAGCGCGCGUAGGUGGUUUGUUAAGUUGAAUGUGAAAUCCCCGGGCUCAACCUGGGAACUGCAUCCAAAACUGGCAAGCUAGAGUAU